GUAGUCAUAUGCUUGUCUCAAAGAUUAAGCCAUGCAUGUCUAAGUAUAAGCAAUUAUACAGCGAAACUGCGAAUGGCUCAUUAUAUAAGUUAUCGUUUAUUUGAUAGUACCUUACUACUUGGAUAACCGUGGUAAUUCUAGAGCUAAUACAUGCUAAAAAUCCCGACUUCGGAAGGGAUGUAUUUAUUAGAUUAAAAACCAAUGCCCUCUGGGCUCUCUGGUGAUUCAUGAUAACUUCUCGAAUCGCAUGGCCUUGCGCCGGCGAUGGUUCAUUCAAAUUUCUUCCCUAUCAACUUUCGAUGUUUGGGUAGUGGCCAAACAUGGUUGCAACGGGUAACGGAGGGUUAGGGCUCGACCCCGGAGAAGGAGCCUGAGAAACGGCUACUACAUCCAAGGAAGGCAGCAGGCGCGCAAAUUACCCAAUCCCGACACGGGGAGGUAGUGACAAUAAAUACUGAUACAGGGCUCUUUUGGGUCUUGUAAUUGGAAUGAGUACAAUUUAAAUCCCUUAACGAGGAACAAUUGGAGGGCAAGUCUGGUGCCAGCAGCCGCGGUAAUUCCAGCUCCAAUAGCGUAUAUUAAAGUUGUUGUGGUUAAAAAGCUCGUAGUUGAACCUUGGGCCUGGCUGGCCGGUCCGCCUCACCGCGUGUACUGGUCCGGCCGGGCCUUUCCCUCUGUGGAACCCCAUGCCCUUCACUGGGUGUGGCGGGGAAACAGGACUUUUACUUUGAAAAAAUUAGAGUGCUCCAGGCAGGCCUAUGCUCGAAUACAUUAGCAUGGAAUAAUGAAAUAGGACGUGCGGUUCUAUUUUGUUGGUUUCUAGGACCGCCGUAAUGAUUAAUAGGGACAGUCGGGGGCAUCAGUAUUCAAUUGUCAGAGGUGAAAUUCUUGGAUUUAUUGAAGACUAACUACUGCGAAAGCAUUUGCCAAGGAUGUUUUCAUUAAUCAGGAACGAAAGUUAGGGGAUCGAAGACGAUCAGAUACCGUCGUAGUCUUAACCAUAAACUAUGCCGACUAGGGAUCGGACGAUGUUAUUUUUUGACUCGUUCGGCACCUUACGAGAAAUCAAAGUGCUUGGGCUCCAGGGGGAGUAUGGUCGCAAGGCUGAAACUUAAAGAAAUUGACGGAAGGGCACCACCAGGGGUGGAGCCUGCGGCUUAAUUUGACUCAACACGGGGAAACUCACCAGGUCCAGACACAAUGAGGAUUGACAGAUUGAGAGCUCUUUCUUGAUUUUGUGGGUGGUGGUGCAUGGCCGUUCUUAGUUGGUGGAGUGAUUUGUCUGCUUAAUUGCGAUAACGAACGAGACCUUAACCUGCUAAAUAGCCCGUAUUGCUUUGGCAGUACGCUGGCUUCUUAGAGGGACUAUCGGCUCAAGCCGAUGGAAGUUUGAGGCAAUAACAGGUCUGUGAUGCCCCUAGAUGUUCUGGGCCGCACGCGCGCUACACUGACGGAGCCAGCGAGUACUCCCUUGGCCGGAAGGCCCGGGUAAUCUUGUUAAACUCCGUCGUGCUGGGGAUAGAGCAUUGCAAUKAUUGCUCUUCAACGAGGAAUCCCUA
rnacentral:rRNA from 1 species